rnacentral:tRNA from 1 species
UUAUCCAUAGCUAUUGUUGUUAAGUUUGCCCUCCGAAGGCAGAGGUCAGAGGUUCGAAUCCUCUCGGGUGCGCCA